AUUGAACGCUGGCGGCAGGCUUAACACAUGCAAGUCGAGCGGGGUGAUGGUGCUUGCACUAUCACUUAGCGGCGGACGGGUGAGUAAUGCUUAGGAAUCUGCCUAUUAGUGGGGGACAACAUCUCGAAAGGGAUGCUAAUACCGCAUACGUCCUACGGGAGAAAGCAGGGGAUCACUUGUGACCUUGCGCUAAUAGAUGAGCCUAAGUCGGAUUAGCUAGUUGGUGGGGUAAAGGCCUACCAAGGCGACGAUCUGUAGCGGGUCUGCGGGGAUGGUCCGCCAACCUGGUACUGAGACACAGCCCAGACUCCUACGGGAGGCAGCAGUGGGGAAUAUUGGACAAUGGGGGGAACCCUGAUCCAGCCAUGCCGCGUGUGUGAAGAAGGCCUUAUGGUUGUAAAGCACUUUAAGCGAGGAGGAGGCUCUUUUUGUUAAUACCCAAGAUGAGUGGACGUUACUCGCAGAAUAAGCACCGGCUAACUCUGUGCCAGCCGCCGCAGUAA
rnacentral:rRNA from 1 species